rnacentral:rRNA from 1 species
UACGUAGGGAGCAAGCGUUGUCCGGAAUCAUUGGGCGUAAAGCGCGCGUAGGUGGCUUCGUAAGUCCGUUGUGAAAGUCAAAGGCUCAACCUUUGAAAGCCGAUGGAUACUGCGGAGCUAGAGUACGGAAGAGGCGAGUGGAAUUCCUGGUGUAGCGGUGGAAUGCGCAGAUAUCAGGAGGAACACCCAUAGCGAAGGCAGCUCGCUGGGACGGUACUGACGCUGAGGCGCGAAAGCGUGGGGAGCGAACAGG